GGCGUGUACUGCUUGGCUGGGCCUUACUUCUUGGUGAGCCGGCGUGCCCUUUAUUGGUGUGCGUCGGGGAACCAGGACUUUUACCUUGAGAAAAUUAGAGUGUUCAAAGCAGGCCUAUGCCUGAAUACAUUAGCAUGAAUAAUAGAAUAGGACGUGCGUCUAUUUUGUGGUUUCUAGAGUCGCGUAUGAUUAAUAGGACAGUUGGGGGCAUUGGUAUUGAGUCGGUAAGAGAGUGAAAUUCUUGGGAUUGAACUCAAGGACCGACUAUUGCGAAAGCAUUUGCCAAAGGAUGUUUUUCAUUAAUCAAGAACGAAAGGUUAGGGGAUCGAAAACGAUCAGAUACCGUGUUAGUCUUAACAGUAAACUAUGCCGAACUAGGGAUCGGAUGACCUCAAAAUUGAUGUGUCAUUCGGCACCUUACGAGAAAAUCAAAGUCUUUUGGGUUCUGGGGGGAGUAUGGUCGCAAGGCUGAAACUUAAAGGAAUUUGACGGAAGGGCACCACCAGGUGUGGAGCCUGCGGCUUAAUUUGACUCAACACGGGGAAACUCACCAGGUCCAGACAUAACUAGGAUUGACAGAUUGAUAGCUCUUUCAUGAUUUUAUGGGUGGUGGUGCAUGGCCGUUCUUAGUUGGUGGAGUGAUUUGUCUGGUUAAUUCCGAUAACGAACGAGACCUUAACCUGCUAAAUAGCCAGGCCGGCUUCGGCUGGUCUCUGGCUUCUUAGAGGGACUGUCAG
rnacentral:rRNA from 1 species